rnacentral:sRNA from 1 species
AUGGUGAAACCUCUCACUCACAUGUGAAGUAGAGACAGGGUUUCACCACGUUGGCCAGGCUGGUCUCACAUUCCUGAGCUCCAGCUUACUGGCUGUCUAACGCUGCUCUCCCUGAGCCUCGAUGUUGAAGUAUCCAGGUCAGCGGUUCACGUUCAUUGUUCAGUCGUCCCCACCGUCCAUCUCCAGAAACUUUUCAUCUUCCCCAACGGCUGCUCUGUGCCCAUGAAACACUGGCUCCUCAUCCUCCGGCCCCUGGCAUCCCCAUUCUACUUUCUUUCCCCAUGAGUUUGCCCUGGGGACCUCAUACAAGUGGAAUCAGACAGUGUCCUGGCAUGUCGUAUGUUGGAGAUUUUCUUUUUAUGGUGAAAAGAUAUACAUAUAUUUUGAAUUAGCCAGCCGGA